ensembl:lncRNA novel transcript
ACUCACACCUGCCUCUCCUAACUGCCUCUUAAACCUGCCAAUCCCCAUGCUGGUGAGAGGAAGAUGAGGAUGCAGGUCCUUGGCCCUUGGCCACGGCCCACUUGCUCCCUCUGCCUCAGCCGGCUUCCCUCUGGGCCCCCCGAUGUCAUUGGUCAUGGGCUUUUUCCUUCUCAGGCUGACCCAGUGUGUAAAUCAGUCUUCCCAUGUGGUCAAUUCUCAAGACGAUGAUCAGCAAAGUUAGAGACCCAAGGAUUUAACAAAAGAAAGAGAGGAAAAAGCCUCAGCUGGAAAAAUGGUUUAGUGAGCUUUCCACACUGGUCUAGGGGCCCAUGACAUUUUUGCUCUGUCCUGAUGGUGAGAUUCCACUCUAAAACAAACCCAACAGGGUCAGGGCUGUUUACUCAAAUAUUUCCCCCCCAAAACCGAGUUGUGAAAACUGUCAACCUCACCAACGUUGGGGACACGGAUUUGCCUCCAGCGUGAGAAGCGAGUCCCCUGCCUUUGCACUGGGGACCAAUCAGAAGACAAGACAAGCCAUGGGGUGCGGGCGCCCAUGGUAUCUGGCCAUCUGGGGGCCCCCGCUUCUCUCGGCCGGCUGUGGAGGCAAGGGAGAUUUUUUUUCCAGAGCUUGGUGGGGCUCCAUAUGGUCGAGAUCAAAGGUGUUGCUGGGUGCAUGGUUCUGCUUUAUUUCCAAGCACUGCUGUUAAUUAGAAAACAAGAUCAGAGGCAGUAUUAAAAUCCAAUUAAAUUGAUAUGAACAGAUUGCCAAGUGAUGUUCACUAAUGUAUAAUUGAGCACCAUGCAAAUUUCGGUGGCUGGCUUUUGUUUUUUUCCCCCACACUCUGGAAUGAAUGAUGAGGCUAUGAAGUUUUUCUUCAUUGUAAAAAACAAACAAGUUAAUGCAUUGAUCUAGGGGGUAUUGCCCUGGUGAUUGAUGAAAAUGAGAGAGAAAUAGUAAAGUGUGACUUUUUGAAGGGAGGGAGUAAAGAUUCUUCUACUCUUCCUCUUUUUUCUCUCCUUGGUUCCACACCCAUUUCUUAUGCACAGUGGCAGGCCUCGCUUUCUGUUGACAUUCCAUUGUUAAUGAUCCAGAGAAAGUUCCUCUGGAUUUCAAGGAUGGAUUGAAAACAAAUUUUGGAAGUUUGAAGACAAACAUCACAGAUAAAAAAGGAUCUGUGUGCAGGUUCUCACUCUGCUGCCCAAGCUGGAGUGCAGUGGCAUGAUCUCGACUCACUGCAGCCUCCACCUCCCAGCUCAAGUGAUCCUCCCACCUCAGCCCUCCAUGUAGCUGAGGCCACAGGCGCUCACCACCACACCUGGCUGAUUUUUGUAUUUUUUAGUAGAGAUGGGGUUUCGCCACGUGGCCCAGUCUGGUCUCAAAUUCAUGAGCUCAAGUGAUCUGCCUGCCCCAGCCUGCCAAAGUGCUGAGAUUACAGGCAUGAGCCACCACACCUGGCCUGAAGUAUCUCUCUUAAUUCUCCCCAUGAACCUCUGAGAUAGGUUUUAUUAUUCCCAUUUUGCAGGUGGGAAAAUGAGACUUUAAAAAUUUGGUAACUUUCUCUGUUACAAUCUCCCUUUGAAUCCUGCACAUUUCCUUCAUAGCCUUUACCACAGAGUAAAUAAAUAUUUUUGUAGUA